UUAAUCAGUUAGCACAUAUCAAGUAUUAUCCUAUGUUGUCUUGGUGUUUAGCUUGUGCAUAUUUUUUAUUAUGUGAACAUAAUUCUAGUUAACAUGAACAGAUUAUUCAAUGUUUGUUUCAAUUUUUCCUACUUCAAAUGAUAUUCUGGUGAUUUUCCUUGCAUGUGAACUUUAUGAAAUUUUGUAUUUUUAUAGGCAGAUACCAGGGAAGAAGGCACGAUGUGAAGAUCUAAGGAUUUCCCUUUUGUUUUACUUUUAAUUCAAGAGGAACACAUUUAAAUGAUACUGCAAUCUCUAAAACUGAAAAUGAGAAUCUUCUCCUUCUCUGGUGGACUGACCGCCCUGAGGGGAAAAAAGAACAGAUCAUUUAUCUUUUCUGAGACCUGAGAACUCAAGGGCCAACACCUGUCAAGCUGCAGCCAGCAAACACUCAUCAGCCAGGAAGCAGAAUCAGAGAAUCUGCUGAGUUACCUGACUCCCAAAGCGACAUGCCAUAUGGCUGGACAUGGGUUGCAGUCAACAGAAACCAGCUCUGGAUAGAAUUUCUUGACCAAACACUUACAUCCUGAAACCAAAGAGUUAAAAAAAAAAGCCAGUUGUUUGGUGGACCAAGGAGGCAUAGAGCUGCGGAGAGCACCGAAGGAGUGUUAUGGACCCUUUCUCUGGAUUUGCAGUCAGAUGCCUUGGCUCUGGAGAGGAAGGGAGGGUCACAUGGCACAGCAGGGCUGCUGGGAAACCCUUAUCUGUAUUGGGCACUUCAAAAGGCAAGGGGAUUGUUGCGAGUUAGAUAUCCCCAGUGUAUUAUAAAGGAGACACAUGGAAAAUACUUACGUGAUGAAGUUUCAGAACUUUAGCACAAAUGUUUAAGGUUUUAUUGAGGAAUAAUUGGCAGGCAAUAAACUACAUCUUUUUGAAGGGUACAAUUGAUCAUGUAUGUGUAUGCCCACCUGUGAAACUACCACUAUAAUGAAGAUAAUAAAUCUAUUAUCCCCA